rnacentral:rRNA from 1 species
UUUUAGAAUUUAAUUUAAAGUCUAACCUGCCCACUGAAUAAUUUUAAAUGGCCGCAGUAUUCUAACUGUGCAAAGGUAGCAUAAUCAUUAGUCUUUUAAUUGAAGGCUGGAAUGAAUGGUUGAAUGAAAUAUUAACUGUUUCAUAAAAAUUUAAAAUAAAAUUUUAUUUUUUAGUCAAAAAGCUAAAAUAUUAUUAAAAGACGAGAAGACCCUAUAAAUCUUUAUUUAAAAUUAAUCUUAAUUAUUUUGAUAAUUUAAAUUAUGAUUAUUUUUUAUAUUUUAUUGGGGUGAUAUUAAAAUUUAAUAAACUUUUAAUUUAUAAUUAACAUAAAUUAAUGAAUUGUUGAUCCAUUUAUAUGAUUAUAAAAUUAAGUUACUUUAGGGAUAACAGCGUAAUUUUUUUAGAUAGUUCUUAUUGAUAAAAA